GAAGUCGGCCAGACAGUCGCGGUAUCCCUUUCUCUGCGGAGGAGGCGGGUACGGAGGAAAGUCCGGGCUCCACAGGGCAGGGUGCCAGGUAACGCCUGGGGGGCGCGAGCCCACGGAAAGUGCCACAGAAAAUACACCGCCGAUGGCCCCGGUUUGCGGAUCGGGGCACAGGUAAGGGUGAAAUGGUGCGGUAAGAGCGCACCGCGCUGUUGGUAACAACAGUGGCAGGGAAAACCCCACCCGGAGCAAGACCAAAUAGGGGAACAUCGAUGCGGCCCGCAUACGUUCCCGGGUAGGUUGCUUGAGCCGCGUGGUGACACGCUGGCCAGAUGAAUGACUGUCCACGACAGAACCCGGCUUAUCGGCCGGCUUCCACC
rnacentral:RNase_P_RNA from 1 species